UACAGAGGGUGCGAGCGUUAAUCGGAAUUACUGGGCGUAAAGCGUGCGUAGACGGUUAUUUAAGUCGGGUGUGAAAGCCCCCGGCUCAACCGGGUGGAUGCGGGCGGGACGGCACGGCUGGAGGGUGGCAGAGGCGGGCGGAAUUCCCGGUGUAGUGGUGAAAUGCGUAGAUACCGGGAGGAACACCCGCGGCGAAGGCGGCCCGCUGGGCCACCCCUGACGCUGAGGCGCGAAGGCCCGGGGAGCGAACGGG
rnacentral:rRNA from 1 species